UAGAAGAGUCGAUGAAAGGGAAAUGAAAAUGGUCGACGAUUUGGAGAGUCGAUAAAUGAGCGGUGUGGAAGCAGCUGAUCGAUCGGUGAUGGAGGAGGAAAUCGAUGGAGCAGCAUCGCUGAUGGAGGAGCAAAUUGAUCGGUGAUGGAUCACCAAAUCGUCGGAGCAUUAAUAGAAGGCAUGUUGAAGAUGAGUUUGUUUAAGAUGGAGCAUGUUGAAUAUCGGUUUGGUGUUUGUUCUUGUUUUGGAUCGACCUAUUUCUGCUUAUACUUGUAAUCGGUUUGGUUUUUGUUCACUAGUUUAGUUGGUGAAAGAGUUAAAGGUCAUGUUGCUUAUACUUGUAAUCGGUUAACUAUCAGUUUAAUUGCCGAAAGACUUGGUUGUGAUAAAUGCUUGUUAGUAGUUUGUUAGGUGAACGAGUUAAAGGGCAAGAUUGUUGUGAUAAAUGCUUGGUUCAUUUAGAUUAUUCUAACUUGA